AUCAGCUGACCGGCGCGUUUCCAUCAUGGCCGCCAGGCAGCGACGGUGGCGGGGGGCGGCGGGCCGGCUCCUCGGCCUGCUGUGGUUGGCCUGUGUCACGGCGCGGGCCGCCGAGCCGCCGCCGCCGAAGUGCGACGAGCUGAGGAUGGGGCAAUAUCUCUGCGAAGAUCCCAAAAUAGACAGCGGCACGCAGGAGCCCAUGAACUGCACGAACCACACGGCUUACGUUCAGUGUCUUCCAGCACCAAAUAUUACUUGUAAGGAUCACAGUGGCAUAGAAAAAAUCUUUACUGGAAAGGAAGUUGGAUUUUACAAGCCUAUUGAAUGCCGUAAUGUAAAUGGAUACUCGUAUAAAGUGGCAGUUGCUCUGUCUUUAUUUCUUGGAUGGCUGGGAGCAGACAGAUUUUAUCUAGGCUAUCCUGCUUUAGGUUUGCUAAAGUUUUGCACUGUAGGUUUUUGUGGAAUUGGAAGCCUAAUUGAUUUCAUUCUUAUUUCCAUGCAGAUUGUUGGACCUUCUGAUGGCUCUAGUUAUAUUAUAGAUUACUAUGGAGCACGGCUUACCAGGCUGAGUAUUACCAAUGGAACCUUCAGAAAAAUGCAGACAUAUCCCUAAGCCUGGCAAUCCUGCCUGGGACAAGCUCUUCUGGUUUGGAUCAAACCUAGGAUCUAAAGUGUUUGACACCCCUGCCUUUAAAGAAUUCACUUCAAAUCCCCUAUGUUGACUGAGGAAAGAGUCCUGAAAACCUGUAAUGGGAGGCCACUGUCUGCUAAGGAACUGACUGACUGUCCCAUAGCCCAAAGGGAACAGGACUGCUAGACCCUGUGGACUGCAUGGGGAAACAAUACGUGUCUGCGGAAAAGGGGGAGCCCUUAUUAUAGGGCUACCAUUCCAUGACAUGUCAUCCACUGUGGCUGUAUUAAGAGGACAAUGUGUGCCACUUCUAAGUUAUUUUGUUACGUGAUUAGAAGCAAUGAAUGCCAUGGUAACAAGCACUGUUGCUGGUAUCUGAUACACUAUUGUGAAUUUAAAAGCAUGUUAGUAAUCUCAAAAUGUUAGAAGCUAAGUGGGAGUUGAGGAGAGAAGUGGCUUACUUGACAUUCACAGUCUUCCUCCUUAGCUCUUAAGCUAGAGUAGGAACAGAAUCAGAACAAAAAAAUGUUUGUUUAACAGCUGUACAAAGUUACAGCUUGGACUCUGUCUCCCCCUCUCUCCUCCCCCCUCCCACUUGCAUCAAGUACAUCCUGUACUUUUGGCAACAUGUUGACUGGAUAUUUAAAAGCUGUGAACUGUUCUGAAAGUUUCACAUACUGGGUUAUGGGCCAUGUGUGUUUGAUCAAAAUUCAAUUACUGCACUGUACCAUGCUUGGAAACCUAUCAUCCCAAGUUAUGAAGUAUGACGAAAUAGGCUAAUCUAAUUGGUUCAGUAUGGGAGCAGUAUCAACCAAGCUUGUUAUGAUAAAUAGCUUCCUGUGUUAAAGGUUCUCUAGAGCUUAAGUAUCUUGGCUCACCUCCUUCUACAAAAUAAGAAUAUUGUUCCCUGGGAACAGUUACAUCACUGUCCCUCUUCUACAUUCAGAAUGAAAGGUUUGUAGAAUUUUUUUCUCUCUUGCUACUUCUUGAAAAGCAGCAUGGACAUCUACCCUGUUUUCCAGUUCUGCCUUCUUCCCACCUCCAGAGUUCAAUCAUCUUGCACUAACCAUGUCUCUUGGAGUUCUUUUUCAGUCCUGUUUAAGAUGAGCUUGAGGAGAAUGUUAAACUUGUCUUCAGCUCUAUAUUUGGGGGCUUGUGUGUGCAUUAAGUUAAAUGGGGAAACAUUUUAGUUUUUCCAAGUGCCUAACUAAAUUACCUUGUUACAGUGAAUUGCAUAUCUAUGGAUAUGUCGCUAUCUACUUGGCAAUUUUAUUGCAGCAUUCAUUUAAAGUAAGCCCAUUGUGCAAGUGCUGAAAUAAGAGUAGGGAUGAACUAGUGUUCAGAGUCUGGAUUUGUGGUUGCUAAACGUGUCACUCAGCCAACGAGCUUUGUCCCAUGGGAUGAUACUGGCUCCAUGGUUUUAGCAGGCCCAUCUUUGGUGAUAACUGCUUGUCUGUGAUUUUGAUGUCACCAUAAUAGACAGCAGCCAGGGUCAGAAGAUUGAAAAGUAGAUCUUUGGCCACCUACAUGUUUUUGGGAUACAAGAGGAUGAUUUAUAAUUCUCAAGUGUCCUCCAGGGCAAAAUAAUUCUGCAGUGGCCAUUUUAGCUUAGGCAUAAUAUAGGCCAGCUCUUGUAAGCACGUGUAGUAAAGUAACUUUAGUGGGAUUUUUCUCAGGAGUAAAGCUACUCACAUGCAAAAGUGCUGGUAGGGGCCAAGUCAUCUUAAAACCUGAUUAUGCCUGCCUAGUGAUUAAUGUCCACUUACUGCAUUUCUUAAGGUUUUGGGUUUUUUAAAGAUUUGCUUUAAUUUCAGUUCACCAUUAUUUAAUCUUAUGCUUACAAAUAAAUAUAGUGCUGAAGUGUGGCUUUCUAACUAGAGCAAGAGCUACUGUAAAUAAUGGCAUUUAAUUCUGAAAAGCAGCAGCUUCAGUUACUAUUUGGUCAAUUGACUAAGUGCAGCAAAACAAAAUUGGGCAGUGCGGAAUUCUCCAUAACAGACACCUAUGUCCACAGAAAGCCGUAACUACACUUUCCUUCUGCUGCCAUAUACUUUGAAACCCAGUUUUUAUAAAUUAUUUUAAAAUGUUUGUUUUGAUUAUAUCCUCUUUAAAAAUAUGGUUAGUUUAAAAAUCAUCUCUAAAUGCAAUUUCCCGAAAUCUCUGAGGAGAAUAAUCCAGUUUCUUUUUCCAUAAAAAUCCCACAAGAAGUGCUCACAAGAUAUAGUAGCUUUACCUUCAAAAAUAGAAAGUGACUGUAGGCACUUAUGCUAAUCUCUUUUUUGGCAAAUCAGCUUUUUUUGUAUUGAAUCUUACUUGAUUGAAUAGCACUGGAGCUGCCAGAGUAAAUGCUAUUAUCAAUGUACAGUAAUUAAGGAAAUAGUCCUUGUCACUCUAACAGUGUCCAGGCUGCGCCUACUGUAAUAAAGUUAAAUGAUAAAGAAAUCUCUUUAAAGUGUAUCUACUGAAGUGUGGUUACUUUAGACAUGCAAUGAAACAAUGCAGAAGAGAAUUAUAGGUGAUGAGGAAAUAUAUGAUCUGCAUAUUAAUAUCUAAAAGCAUUCUGAACCAGUACACAUUAUUACAUGAUGACAAAUUUAAACAAUUAACAUGCUGACUCAAAAUCAAUUGAGCAACUAUGAAUUACUUCCACAAGAAAAGAAUGAUCUUAGUGUCAUUCAGAAAUCCCAAAGACUGUUUUACUUCAGGCAAAAACCUGUGCGCAAAUGGUAAAUUAUGCCACGUAUCAAUAAGAUCAGCUGACUCGUGAACCAAGUUGGGGAAGUGAACUUCAGUAUAGAUAACUUGUUCCAGAUAACUUGCCCCAACUUCUCUCCCAUUUCACAUGGUAACUCAGGAGCAGUCCCCUGUGAAGGUAGAAACAAUGUAGGAUUUUCUCUAUAAACCAGCAGCUUAAAUUGCAUCCAGAAACAGCUGUGGUACAUUAGUCUCAUUUUUGCAGUGAAAAGUGUCACUUUAUAAGCAUGCAGCCCUACUGUGUGCAACCUGACGUUUCGAAGUGCUUUUCAGCUGUAACCCUCGUAAGCUAUUCUGCAGGUGAUAUAGGGAUGACUAAGCUAUACUGGAGGUGAGGGAGGCAUGAGUAACUGCUGAGGUUUGUAUUUAAGAGCAAAGAUCACAAUCUUUUGCAAAGCAGAUUGAGAUAAAUGCAAGAAGAAUUGUUUAGUGGGGAAUAGCAAGGAAAUUAACCUAUUUUGAUCAAGCAGUAUUCUGGGAAACAUUAUCCAGGGUAUAAACAUAUGCAUUCCCAAAGUAAAUUAGACCUAUGGAAUGAGCUUAGAAAUGGAUAUAAUGGGGAAAGGGAAUAGGUCACAACUGGAAACUAGAGUCCAUAGUGUAGCUCUUGGAGUAGAACAGCAGCACCUAAAGUAGUGAGUACAGUUGCCAAAUCUCAUGAAAGUCUUUUCUUUUUAUUUCUCUACCUUGUACCUAUAAAAUGGGUGUGAUAAAGUUUUUGUAUUUGAUUAAAAGAAACUCAACAGGUUUUUUUGGCCAUGUUAUCAUUUGGUAUUUUACCAUUUUCUGCUUCAUUUCACAUUUAUGUAUUGAUAUUCUGAAGGCUGGGCAUAUAACCUUCCCAUUACAUCUCUGACACAAUGAAAUAGCUUCUAAAUAAAGCAAAUCUGAAGGAUCUACCCAAGAUACCUCAUUUAAGGUGGAAGGUGAUGCUUGUACUGAACAUUAGCUUUGUUCUUCCCAUAUCUAGAACUGGACUUAAACUUCAGUACAUGUACACGUUUAAAAUAAAGCACGUAUUUGAGUAGUUCCAUUAACUUCAAGAAGACUAUUCACUAAAUGCUUAAACAUAUAUGCAAGUACUUUCCUGGAUCAGGAACCCUAUUCUGUUAUGUGCAAGACAACAAUAUGCUUUGUAGAAAAUUCUUUAAGUACCCCUAGCUUAACCUUCAGAACUGUCCAUUUGAAUCUCAGCAGAAGUACUCUGGUCAGAAUUCAAAAAAUUAUAGCAGAAGCAGUGAGUUUUUAAUUGAGGCGUGCCAAAUACAAACGGCAGAUGCUUUUCCAUUCUAUAGCUCUUGGGUACGCAUUCUACUUUGCUGUUUCAAGGACAAAGGAAACACUUAUCCAAUUAGAUGAAGCAUGAGAUUGUGACAUAAGGCUCUUCCCUAAAUAAAAAAGAGUUGGAAAAAAGAAUUUUGACCUUACGUCAAUAAGUGCUAUUAAAAUAAUGAAUACGCCAUAGGUCUCAGCAUUUAUACAGAUCACAUUACGAGCUGCACUGAUUUUGUUGCUAAAAUUACUGAGUCUACACAGGUAGACCUACAGAAGUUACUUGUCCAAAUUACCUUUUAAAGGCCCUUUUUUUUAAAAAAAAAAAAAAAAAAAGAAAGAUUAAAAAAAAAAAAA